rnacentral:tRNA from 1 species
UGCGGAUGUGGCGGAACUGGCAGACGCGCUAGACUUAGGAUCUAGUGGGAGACCGUGCAGGUUCGAUUCCUGUCAUCCGCAGCC